rnacentral:misc_RNA from 1 species
CCAAACUUGGUCAUUUAGAGGAAGUAAAAGUCGUAACAAGGUCUCCGUUGGUGAACCAGCGGAGGGAUCAUUACAGAGUCGUAAAACACUCCCAAACCCAUGUGAACUUACCUAUGUUGCCUCGGCAGGACCUACCUGGUACCUACCCUGUAGUUACCCUGUAGCCUGCCGGUGGACUAUAAAACUCUGUUAUUUAAUGGAUAUCUGAGCGUCUUAUUUAAUAAGUCAAAACUUUCAACAACGGAUCUCUUGGUUCUGGCAUCGAUGAAGAACGCAGC